UACGUAGGGAGCAAGCGUUGUCCGGAAUCAUUGGGCGUAAAGCGCGCGUAGGCGGCCCCGUAAGUCCGCUGUGAAAGUCAAAGGCUCAACCUUUGAAAGCCGGUGGAUACUGUGGGGCUAGAGUCCGGAAGAGGCGAGUGGAAUUCCUGGUGUAGCGGUGGAAUGCGCAGAUAUCAGGAGGAACACCGGUGGCGAAGGCGGCUCUCUGGGCCUUACCUGACGCUGAGGAGCGAAAGCUGGGGGAGCGAACAGG
rnacentral:rRNA from 1 species